UGCACUCCAGCCUAGGUGACAGAGUAAGACCCUGCCUCAAAAAAUUAAUUAAUUAAUUAAAUAAAAUAAGAAAUCUAUUCUGGAAAUCAGUCAUCAAACACCACAAUUUUGGGAAUAUAGUUUGGACGACCACUUCCUUUUCUGGAAACCAUUUUUAGAAUAAGAAAAUGAGCCAGAAUACACCUUGCCAAAUAAGUUUCCCCAAAUCACAAUUAUGAUUUGGGGAAUGAACACAAGAAUGAACAAAUUAAGUCAUAAAUGUAUGCAAUCAUUUUUGAAUGUCUUUGCAGAGAAAUAUUCAAAGUGGUAAGAUGGAUUGAACUGCCAACCAAAAUUGUCAAUCUUUAUUUCAGUCUUCACUAUUAAGCUAAAAAGGUAAUUUUUCUCUUGAAUGAUGUGAAGAAUUGAAUUUCUUUCAACUGUUCCAAAAAUCUAUUUGCGGAAAUAUUUUUAUGCUCCAGCAUGUCUUAAGAGUUUAACAUUUUUGGAUGCUGAGUUAUAACAGAUUCCUGCCUGCCACCCUGUGGGGCAGGCAAGAUGAUAUUAUACAUCUCUUAUAAAACAAAGAUACAGACUCAGAAUGGCUAAUAGGAUAUUGCUGAGGCCUGCCAGGUAUCUUUUGGUGAAUAGAUACUCUUUAUCUUAAGGUAUCUUUUGGUGAAUAGAUACUCUUUAUCUUAAGAUUUGUUGUGGUUAUUCUUGGUCUGCUGCCCAUCUAUAAAAAAUUUAGAAUCCAUCGGUAAAGUUGCACAACAAAUUCUGUUAGGAUUUUGUUGGAAUUACACUGAACCUACAGAUCGGUUUGGGAAUAACUGACAUCUUUACAAUACUGAGUCUUCCCAUCCAAGGAAACAGUAUAUUAUAUUCCAUCUAAUUAUGUCAUUUGGAAUUGUCUUCCAAUAAAUUUUUAUGGCUUUUCUGCA
rnacentral:lncRNA from 1 species